rnacentral:rRNA from 1 species
AUUAGAUACCCUGGUAGUCCACGCUGUAAACGAUGUCGAUUUAGAGGUUGUGGUCUUGAACUGUGGCUUCUGGAGCUAACGCGUUAAAUCGACCGCCUGGGGAGUACGGCCGCAAGGUUAAAACUCAAAUGAAUUGACGGGGGCCCGCACAAGCGGUGGAGCAUGUGGUUUAAUUCGAUGCAACGCGAAGAACCUUACCUACUCUUGACAUCCAGCGAAUCCUUUAGAGAUAGAGGAGUGCCUUCGGGAACGCUGAGACAGGUGCUGCAUGGCUGUCGUCAGCUCGUGUUGUGAAAUGUUGGGUUAAGUCCCGCAACGAGCGCAACCCUUAUCCUUUGUUGCCAGCGCGUAAUGGCGGGAACUCAAAGGAGACUGCCGGUGAUAAACCGGAGGAAGGUGGGGAUGACGUCAAGUCAUCAUGGCCCUUACGAGUAGGGCUACACACGUGCUACAAUGGCAGAUACAAAGAGAAGCGACCUCGCGAGAGCAAGCGGAACUCAUAAAGUCUGUCGUAGUCCGGAUUGGAGUCUGCAACUCGACUCCAUGAAGUCGG